UGCAAUAUUUCUUGGUUUUUUUCAUAAAAUAAAAAGCAUACCCUAAUUAUAUGUAUGGUUAUAGAUUUAUAUAAAAACCUACAAUUUUAUUAAAAUAAACCUAAAAAUUGAUUUGGUAGGAUACGAUUUCGUCGGCUUUUAAAUAUCCAUUAACUCCCCUAGUUUGAACAACACAUUUUAAACUUUGGAAACAAUUUAUUGAGCUUGAACUAAUAAAAAU
rnacentral:lncRNA from 1 species